CAUUCUCUCUUGCUCUUCCUUUGGAGACCGAUGCUUUGUGUGUUGUUUUGGGUUCCACGCCUCUUGGUUGUUCAAAAGUUGUUACAAGGCAAGUAAUGGGUCCGUAACUGGAAAGCCCAUAUCUCGGCUGUGACAUCAUUCCCAACUCGGACCUGCAGCUUGCAAGAAAAUAAUGCAAGACCAAUAUACAGUGCACCCGGAAAGUAUCCACGGGUCUUCACUUUUUCCACUGUGGAGGGGGGCGUGGUCUGCGGGCCUGCCGCGGAGUGGGGUGUGUAAGGACCGGCCUCAAAGUCAGCGGCAGCCUCGCUGCGCGGACCCUCCCCCACCUGACAGGAUGCAAAGUCUGGCCUCUCAGCAGAUAAUGUGACGCACACGUGUGCGAGCGGAAGACGGGGGGACCUGCCGACCACAAAGGGUCCGCUCCUGGAUGCCCGUGCUAUGAUAACACGAGGAAGCCACGGGAGGAAGACGUGUCUGCGGCCGCUUGGCAGGUCUGUGUGCCACUGGGAGUCACACGUAUCUCUCAGAGGGUGAAACCCGGGACUCUGACAGGGCGGCCACGGGUGGAAGGGUGACAGACUUUUUACCGGUUGUCAUCGCAGGGCAAAGCACUUUAAAAGUGUCCAGCUGUGACUACUCUAAUUGUUGUAAAUUGGCACCGAAGAGGUGACACAAAGUGUGGCCGAGGUAAAAAAAAAAAUACUCUUUUAUAACACAUUCCAAAUGCUCAAAAUAAAUGUCCAGAUCCCAUCCAUCCAUCCAUUUUCUACCGCUUGUCCCUUUUGGGGUUGCGGUGGGUGCAUUCGGAUCCCCUCAAAGAUUUCGGCGUGAGCACAUGUGUACAUUGAACCUACAAACUGUGCGCUCUUAGAACAGAGUAAUUGUUCUAUACUCAGAGGACUACAAG